rnacentral:tRNA from 1 species
GUUAAUGUAGCUUAAAACACAAGCAAGGUACUGAAAAUACCUAGACGA